rnacentral:rRNA from 1 species
UACAGAGACCUCAAGCGUUAUCCGGAAUCAUUGGGCGUAAAGCGUACCGAUAGGUGGUUUUGUUAGUCUUGGGUAAAAGCCAGAAGCUCAACUUCUGAGUUUGCUUAAGAUACUGCGAAACUAGAGGGGCAAAGAGGUGCUUGGAACGAAUGGUGUAGUAGUGAAAUGCGUUGAUAUCAUUCGGAACACCGAAAGCGUAGGCAGAGCACUGGGUGCCACCUGACACUGCUAGGACGAAAGCGUGGGGAGCGAAUGGG